rnacentral:rRNA from 1 species
UGAACGCUGGCGGCAGGCCUAACACAUGCAAGUCGAACGGUAACAGGAAGAAGCUUGCUUCUUUGCUGACGAGUGGCGGACGGGUGAGUAAUGUCUGGGAAACUGCCUGAUGGAGGGGGAUAACUACUGGAAACGGUAGCUAAUACCGCAUAACGUCGCAAGACCAAAGAGGGGGACCUUAGGGCCUCUUGCCAUCGGAUGUGCCCAGAUGGGAUUAGCUAGUAGGUGGGGUAAAGGCUCACCUAGGCGACGAUCCCUAGCUGGUCUGAGAGGAUGACCAGCCACACUGGAACUGAGACACGGUCCAGACUCCUACGGGAGGCAGCAGUGGGGAAUAUUGCACAAUGGGCGUAAGCCUGAUGCAGCCAUGCCGCGUGUAUGAAGAAGGCCUUCGGGUUGUAAAGUACUUUCAGCGGGGAGGAAGGUGUUGUGGUUAAUAACCACAGCAAUUGACGUUACCCGCAGAAGAAGCACCGGCUAACUCCGUGCCAGCAGCCGCGGUAAUACGGAGGGUGCAGGCGUUAAUCGGAAUUACUGGGCGUAAAGCGCACGCAGGCGGUCUGUCAAGUCGGAUGUGAAAUCCCCGGGCUCAACCUGGGAACUGCAUUCGAAACUGGCAGGCUUGAGUCUCGUAGAGGGGGGUAGAAUUCCAGGUGUAGCGGUGAAAUGCGUAGAGAUCUGGAGGAAUACCGGUGGCGAAGGCGGCCCCUGGACGAAGACUGACGCUCAGGUGCGAAAGCGUGGGGAGCAAACAGGAUUAGAUACCCUGGUAGUCCACGCCGUAAACGAUGUCUAUUUGGAGGUUGUGCCCUUGAGGUGUGGCUUCCGGAGCUAACGCGUUAAAUAGACCGCCUGGGGAGUACGGCCGCAAGGUUAAAACUCAAAUGAAUUGACGGGGGCCCGCGCAAGCGGUGGAGCAUGUGGUUUAAUUCGAUGCAACGCGAAGAACCUUACCUGGUCUUGACAUCCACAGAACUUUCCAGAGAUGGAGGGGUGCCUUCGGGAACUGUGAGACAGGUGCUGCAUGGCUGUCGUCAGCUCGUGUUGUGAAAUGUUGGGUUAAGUCCCGCAACGAGCGCAACCCUUAUCCUUUGUUGCCAGCGGUUAGGCCGGGAACUCAAAGGAGACUGCCAGUGAUAAACUGGAGGAAGGUGGGGAUGACGUCAAGUCAUCAUGGCCCUUACGACCAGGGCUACACACGUGCUACAAUGGCGCAUACAAAGAGAAGCGAACUCGCGAGAGCAAGCGGACCUCAUAAAGUGCGUCGUAGUCCGGACUGGAGUCUGCAACUCGACUCCAUGAAGUCGGAAUCGCUAGUAAUCGUGGAUCAGAAUGCCACGGUGAAUACGUUCCCGGGCCUUGUACACACCGCCC